UACGGGGGGGGCAAGCGUUGUUCGGAAUUACUGGGCGUAAAGGGCGCGUAGGCGGCCCUGCAAGUCUUUCGUGAAAUCCCACAGCUCAACUGUGGAACUGCGGAAGAUACUGCAGGGCUUGAGUCCGGGAGAGGGGAGUGGAAUUCCCAGUGUAGCGGUGAAAUGCGUAGAUAUUGGGAGGAACACCGGUGGCGAAGGCGGCUCCCUGGACCGGAACUGACGCUGAGGCGCGAAAGCUAGGGGAGCAAACGGG
rnacentral:rRNA from 1 species